UGGGGAAUAUUGGACAAUGGGCGCAAGCCUGAUCCAGCCAUGCCGCGUGUGUGAAGAAGGCCUUUUGGUUGUAAAGCACUUUAAGCGAGGAGGAGGCUACUUGGAUUAAUACUCUAGGAUAGUGGACGUUACUCGCAGAAUAAGCACCGGCUAACUCUGUGCCAGCAGCCGCGGUAAUACAGAGGGUGCGAGCGUUAAUCGGAGUUACUGGGCGUAAAGCGUGCGUAGGCGGCUUCUUAAGUCGGAUGUGAAAUCCCUGAGCUUAACUUAGGAAUUGCAUUCGAUACUGGGAAGCUAGAGUAUGGGAGAGGAUGGUAGAAUUCCAGGUGUAGCGGUGAAAUGCGUAGAGAUCUGGAGGAAUACCGAUGGCGAAGGCAGCCAUCUGGCCUAAUACUGACGCUGAGGUACGAAAGCAUGGGGAGCAAACAGG
rnacentral:rRNA from 1 species